UAGGGAAUAUUGCAAAAUGGGCGAAAGCCCGAUGCAGCAACGCCGCGUGGGCGAUGAAGGCCUUCGGGUCGUAAAGCCCUUUUUGAGGGGAUGAGGAAGGACAGUACCCUCAGAAUAAGCCUCGGCUAACUACGUGCCAGCAGCCGCGGUAAAACGUAGGAGGCGAGCGUUAUCCGGAUUUACUGGGCGUAAAGCGCGUGCAGGCGGAUUGGCGAGUUGGAUGUGAAAGCUCCCGGCUUAACUGGGAGAGGUCGUUCAAUACUUCCAGUCUUGAGUGCAGUAGAGGGAAGUGGAAUUCCGGGUGUAGUGGUGAAAUGCGUAGAUAUCCGGAGGAACACCAGUGGCGAAAGCGGCUUCCUGGACUGUAACUGACGCUCAGACGCGAAAGCUAGGGUAGCAAACG
rnacentral:rRNA from 1 species